GAACUCUCGAAAUUUUGCCUUACUCAAUUUUAUAAGCCCUAGCUGCAUUGCGUUCUGUCUGUCUUCUACGCGACGCCUUUUCUGAUGAGAAUCCAACGGCCAGGAGUAAACUGUCAUAAGAGUAUCGCCGCCCUCCAGGUGAAAGCGACGUGAUAAAACCGGAAAUAAGAUAAAAGUGGAGGCUAUUUUGGCAAAUAAAAGCCCAAAUCUUCUGGUCUCUUCCAUCCUUCUCCGGAGAUCGGCGAUUACUUCCCACCGAGAUUUCUCUCCAAUUUCCCCUCUCAAUCUCUCCUUGCUUAGCACACAAUUAUCUGAACUGUGAAGGAAUUCUCCAUGCAAUUUUAAGCUUGGUUCAGGUGCUUUGCAUUGAUUUCUUGUCUUAAACCAUUGAUAUAGUGAAUACUUUUGGUGAAAAUGGAUCUGAAUCCCAUUAAGGAUGCAUUUGAUCAUGUUUCAAAGAAGCAAAAGCUGUCCAGUUCUAAAGCUCAAGAAGUGAUUGACCAGAUCAUGCAAGAAAUUGAAAAGGCGGUGGAAAUAAUACAGUCUGGACAAUCUGGCUCUGAAUUUGAAUAUAAAUCUGUUCUUGGUGAGCUUAAUAAAAAGCUGCAGGAAAUUUCUCCUAUCAGUCAGCUGGAAGGCACACAGAAGGAACUGAAUAUAGCGCUGAGCAAGUACCCAAAGCAACUGGAGAAAUCUUUCAACCCAGACAUCUCCAAGGCAUACAGAAACAUUGACUUUGAUAUCCACACUGUCAACCAGAUAAUUGGAAGCCAUUUCUACCGACUUGGCUUAUUUAGUAUCGGUGACUGCUUCAUAAAUGAGGCCAAGGAACCAGAAUCUACUGUUGCUAUGAGAUCCAUGUUCUCAGAAAUGUAUCUAAUAGUAGAAGCUAUGAAGGAUCGAAACCUAAUACCUGCAUUAAAGUGGGCUGCUGCCAACUCUGAUAAGCUUAAAGAAAAUGGUUCAGACCUUGAGCUGAAACUUCAUCGUUUGCAGUUUGUGGAAAUACUGCAACAUGGAAGUAGAGGUGAAGCUCUUACGUAUGCCAGAACUCAUUUUGCUCCUUUUGCAUCCAAUCAUUUGGGUGAAAUUCAGAAGCUCAUGGCCUGCCUCUUGUGGACUGGAAAGCUUGAUCGCUCCCCAUACUCUGAAUUACUGUCUGCUGCUAAUUGGAACACAGUGGCUGACGAGCUAACUAGGCAAUUCUGCAAUCUUCUGGGGCAGUCUUUUGAAAGCCCAUUGAGUGUGACAAUAGCAGCAGGGUUUCAAGGUUUACCACCUCUUCUGAAGUUUAUGAAUGUAAUGGCAGGCAAGAAACAGGAGUGGCAGUCGAUGAAGCAGUUGCCAGUGCCUGUGGAGCUGGAUAAAGAAUUUCAGUUCCAUUCCAUCUUUGUGUGCCCAGUGUCUAAGGAGCAAUCGACUGAUGAUAAUCCCCCAAUGUUGAUGCCCUGUGGUCAUGUGCUGUGCAAACAAUCUAUCAAUAAGAUGUCAAAGAACAGUUCCAAAACCUUCAAGUGCCCGUACUGUCCUGAUAAUAUCGAUGCAACAAAGUGUACGCAGCUGUAUUUCUGAUUUGUACUCCCACGUGUACAUUGAAAUGUAUCAAACUCUCGCUCUCUCUCUCUCUUUAAUGUUUGAAAAUUGUGUAGAAACUGGUGGUGGUAUGUUGUGUAGCCAAGGGCAUGUGGACAGUGGCAAGCUGGUCUAUCGUGUACUGUUUGUUGAUGCAUUUGUUGUAAAUAGACAUUCUUUUCACAUUUAUGUUGGGAAUGGAAAACUAGUUCCAGGACACUUCUGAAGUUACUUCUUGUGCCUAGAAGUUAGUG
rnacentral:misc_RNA from 1 species